rnacentral:rRNA from 1 species
UACAGAGACCUCAAGCGUUAUCCGGAAUCAUUGGGCGUAAAGCGUACCGAUAGGUGGUUUUACAAGUCAGAGGUGAAAUCCCAAGGCUCAACUUUGGGACUGUCCUUUGAAACUGUACAACUAGAGGGGCAAGAGGAAGCUGGAACGAACGGUGUAGUAGUGAAAUGCGUUGAUAUCGUUCGGAACACCAAUAGCGUAGGCAGGCUUCUGGGUGCCACCUGACACUGCUAGGACGAAAGCGUGGGGAGCGAAUGG